rnacentral:rRNA from 6 species
UGGCUGUCGUCAGCUCGUGUCGUGAGAUGUUGGGUUAAGUCCCGUAACGAGCGCAACCCUUGUCCUUAGUUACCAGCACCUCGGGUGGGAACUCUAAGGAGACUGCCGGUGACAAACCGGAGGAAGGUGGGGAUGACGUCAAGUCAUCAUGGCCCUUACGGCCAGGGCUACACACGUGCUACAAUGGUCGGUACAAAGGGUUGCCAAACCGCGAGGUGGAGCUAAUCCCAUAAAACCGAUCGUAGUCCGGAUCGCAGUCUGCAACUCGACUGCGUGAAGUCGGAAUCGCUAGUAAUCGUGAAUCAG